CUAGUGCCUUAGUGGACUUGCGGAUUUGUUUUGACAUUGGCGGUUUUUGGAUAGCUCGGUUCUCCUUCCGACGUGUCGUGGAGAUGAAGACGCGGGAGAGUAAUCCGUCACCCACGACGCGGCCUCUCAUUCUGCGUACUGGACGAUGCAAGAAGCCGAGGAGGGGGACGCUUCGCAAACUCAAACGAUCGAUCGAGUUCCUGAAAAACGGAAAGGGCGAUCUCCAUCACUAACGCCACUGGAUUCGACUCCCGCGAAGAGGUCGUUCAGUGCCCCUCUUCACGGUCGACGAAUCGUUCAUCUCAGGUAUCUGGCUGUGGGAUUGUCUGCGUGCCAGAAUCCUGGAUGUGGCAAACCUCUGGCGCUCAUUGAUUGCGUUGAAGAGAAGAGGUACGACCUGGGCAGCGUACUUGUCAUUCCGUGUCAGCAGUGUGGGAUGGAGAAUUUUAUAGAUACAGAUAGCCCUGUAACUGCUCAACACCCUGGCCCCCGUGCUUCCACAAGCAACACCAAAGCUGCUUUGGGAAAUGACGACCUGGAUCCCAUCGUCAACCAAAGUGUACAUUUUUCGGUGUUGAUAUCAUCUUAGUCAAUACCUCGAACAGUCUGUAAAAUUUUAUGUCAUAUUUUCUGUCCUAACUGAUGUUAUGGACGAUUUCUCAUCAAUUUUGGGAUUUUGUGUUAUUUUGUGUCAUCAAGGAAAAUUGUGUUUUUGGCAAGACCUA